GUGUCAGCAGCCGCGGUAAGACGAAGGGGGCUAGCGUUGUUCGGAAUUACUGGGCGUAAAGCGAGUGUAGGUGGUUGUCGUAGUCAGGUGUGAAAGCCUUGAGCUCAACUCAAGAAAUGCACUUGAUACUCGGCGGCUAGAGGACCGGAGAGGAUAGUGGAAUUCCCAGUGUAGUGGUGAAAUACGUAGAGAUUGGGAAGAACACCAGUGGCGAAGGCGGCUAUCUGGACGGUUUCUGACACUAAGACUCGAAAGCGUGGGGAGCAAACAGGAUUAGAUACCCUUGUAGUCC
rnacentral:rRNA from 1 species